rnacentral:tRNA from 1 species
GCCUGGGUGGCUCAGUCGGUUGAGCCUCUGACUUUGGUUCAGGGCAUGAUCUCUCUAUCCGUGGGUUCAAGCCCCACGUCAGGCU